GAUGAACGCUGGCGGCGUGCUUAACACGUGCAAGUCGAACGGAAAGGCCCAAGCUUGCUUGGGUACUCGAGUGGCGAACGGGUGAGUAACACGUGGGUGAUCUGCCCUGCACUUCGGGAUAAGCCUGGGAAACUGGGUCUAAUACCGGAUAGGACCACAUUUUGGAUGGUGUGGUGGAAAGUUUUUCGGUGUGGGAUGAGCUCGCGGCCUAUCAGCUUGUUGGUGGGGUAAUGGCCUACCAAGGCGUCGACGGGUAGCCGGCCUGAGAGGGUGUACGGCCACAUUGGGACUGAGAUACGGCCCAGACUCCUACGGGAGGCAGCAGUGGGGAAUAUUGCACAAUGGGCGCAAGCCUGAUGCAGCGACGCCGCGUGGGGGAUGACGGCCUUCGGGUUGUAAACUCCUUUCGCUAGGGACGAAGCGUUUUUGUGACGGUACCUGGAGAAGAAGCACCGGCUAACUACGUG
rnacentral:rRNA from 1 species